AAGGGUAUGAUUUUAAGAAACGUAACAUAUGGAUGACAAACAAAUAAUAAUAAAGUGUCUACCAAAUUAGGGAGAGAGAGGCUGAAUGGGGAAAUCAGAGAGAGAUACGGCGUCGGAUCCGGAGGUAACCGAACUUCCCAGCUCCAGGUGAGGAACCUUCAAAUAUGAGCGGCAAAUACCCUGUCGCAGCUUUGUACCUUUGCUGAAUCUGAAACAAUUUCAUUUCACCACCAACCCAUUAAUACACAAGGGCUUACUCUAAGUAUUAUAUCAAUAAUGAAUCAAAGAGUGUUUACUUCCAGAAUUUGUUGGCUGCUGCGCAAUGAGUUACGCCCUAUGACGCAGACUGUCCCACCGGACCCACCGCCAGUGAUUUUGGCUCCAUACAAAGUUCCAUCAUCUGUUGUAGACUUGUUGUGCUGCAUCCCUUGUACUAACUGGACCAGCCUGUUGGUUCCGUCCGAUCCUAGUCCGCACGCGCUGUAGCUAUAGUGACACUGAGACCAAACAAGGAUAAACACACAAAAAAAACAUUAAGAUAUUAAUUCCCUUAUCUUAUAUAACAUAAUCUAUAGUUUGAUGUAAUACCUGAUAAAGAAGUCCUCCAAGAGCGGUAAGUUGCUCAUCUGAUGUUGCAGAAGUCAAAAGAGCUUUAAAAGUCUACACAAGAUGCAGCACAUGAUAUGAAACAGCCAGAAAAAGGAUUAAAAAAGCAGAAGAAGAUUUUAUGUUUUGUUGUUACAUGUGUAUACUCUUAAAUAUCAAAAGACGGACCUUAACCCGGAAGUUUUCGUAUAUAGGGUGUCUGGCAGGAGCUUUAACACUGUACGAACGUUUUUGAUCAAUCACUGUGACCGGAUCGUCAUGAUCCGAGUAUUCAUCAAUGAAUGUCUGACCCAGCAUGAAAUCUGGAAGCUUAUCAGCAUAACGGGCUUCAUACCUGCAACACAAUCAGAGCUAUGAGUAUUAUAUUCUUAACAAUUUAAAUUAUAAUUUUUUUUAAAAAAAAAAAUUGCAUACUUCUUCAAAGAUUUUAAAAUCAUUAUAAUAAAAUAGUUUCAUUGACUUUUUAAAUAUAAAAAAACAUUUUAAUACUCUUUAUAAAUUUAACAAAUCUGUUAUUUUUAAAAUGAACAAACUCUACCUAAAUUAAAUUCGUUCUAACUCUCCUAAUUCUAAUAGAACUGAAGUAUGAUAUACAAAUAUUGCAAUAGAAUACAUGGACAAUUAGCAUCCCACAAUCAAUUUUGCUAUAAAUCAUAUUACUUUUAACAUAAAAAACUAAUCAUUUUUUUCGUACGGGAUAGUAUACUAGUUCUCUAUAACCCACCAACUGCCACCUCACCAACUUGUUCUCAGCGUAUUUACUACUUCCAUAUUUGCGCACACACAUUAACUCGGUAAACCGAAGAGUAAAUGUUUUCUUUUGCAUCAUUUAUAUAUUUUUGAACAACUACUUUUUUUUUUUGAACAACAUCUUUUGCAUCAUAUAUUUGUUUAGAAAUAACGUUGCAGUGUAUACACAAGCAUCAUUUACUAACUUUGAAAAGAAGCACAUAAUUUAUUUUAUUUUUUAGACUCUUUAAGGGUAUGAUUUUAAGAAACGUAACAUAUGGAUGACAAACAAAUAAUAAUAAAGUGUCUACCAAAUUAGGGAGAGAGAGGCUGAAUGGGGAAAUCAGAGAGAGAUACGGCGUCGGAUCCGGAGGUAACCGAACUUCCCAGCUCCAGGUGAGGAACCUUCAAAUAUGAGCGGCAAAUACCCUGUCGCAGCUUUGUACCUUUGCUGAAUCUGAAACAAUUUCAUUUCACCACCAACCCAUUAAUACACAAGGGCUUACUCUAAGUAUUAUA
rnacentral:lncRNA from 1 species